ACCUGCGGAAGGAUCAUAGUAAUCGUCU
rnacentral:rRNA from 2 species